rnacentral:rRNA from 1 species
UCGAGGAUCUUCGGCAAUGGGCGCAAGCCUGACCGAGCGACGCCGCGUGUGGGAUGAAGGCCUUCGGGUUGUAAACCACUGUCAGAGGGGAUGAAAUUCCUGGGGGUUCUCCCCCAGGAUUGACAUAUCCUCAGAGGAAGUACGGGCUAAGUUCGUGCCAGCAGCCGCGGUAAGACGAACCGUACGAACGUUAUUCGGAAUCACUGGGCUUAAAGGGUGCGUAGGCGGCGCGGAAAGUUGGGUGUGAAAUCCCUCGGCUUAACCGAGGAAUUGCGCUCAAAACUUCCGUGCUCGAGGGAGACAGAGGUGAGCGGAACUUAGGGUGGAGCGGUGAAAUGCGUUGAUAUCCUAAGGAACACCGGUGGCGAAGGCGGCUCACUGGGUCUCUUCUGACGCUGAGGCACGAAAGCUAGGGGAGCGAACGGGAUUAGAUACCCCCGUAGUCC